rnacentral:rRNA from 1 species
CCUACGGGUGGCAGCAGUGAGGAAUAUUGGUCAAUGGGCGUAAGCCUGAACCAGCCAAGUCGCGUGAGGGAUGAAGGUUCUAUGGAUCGUAAACCUCUUUUAUCAGGGAAUAAAGUGUGGGACGUGUCCUGUUUUGUAUGUACCUUAUGAAUAAGGAUCGGCUAACUCCGUGCCAGCAGCCGCGGUAAUACGGAGGAUCCUAGCGUUAUCCGGAUUUAUUGGGUUUAAAGGGUGCGUAGGCGGCCUUUUAAGUCAGCGGUGAAAGUCUGUGGCUCAACCAGAGAAUUGCCGUUGAAACUGGGAGGCUUGAGUAUAUUAGAGGCAGGCGGAAUGCAUGGUGUAGCGGUGAAAUGCUUAGAUAUCACGCAGAACCCCGAUUGCGAAGGCAGCCUGCCGAGCCAUGACUGACGCUGAGGCACGAAAGCGUGGGGAGCAAACAGGAUUAGAUACCCCUGUAGUC